rnacentral:rRNA from 1 species
UGCCAGCCGCCGCGGUAACACGGGGGGCGCAAGCGUUAUUCGGAAUUAUUGGGCGUAAAGGGCGCGUAGGCGGUCUUGUCAGUCAGACGUGAAAGCCCAGGGCUCAACCCUGGAACUGCGUUUGAAACUACUUUUCUAGAGGAUAGGCGGAGAAAACGGAACUCCACAUGUAGCGGUGAAAUGCGUAGAUAUGUGGAAGAACACCCGUGGCGAAAGCGGUUUUCUAGCUUAUUCCUGACGCUCAGGCCCGAAAGCUAGGGGAGCAAACAGGAUUAGAUA